rnacentral:rRNA from 1 species
AUUGAACGCUGGCGGCAUGCUUUACACAUGCAAGUCGAACGGCAGCACGGGAGCUUGCUCCUGGUGGCGAGUGGCGAACGGGUGAGUAAUACAUAGGAACGUAUCCUGGUAGUGGGGGAUAACGCAGCGAAAGCUGUGCUAAUACCGCAUACGAUCUACGGAAGAAAGCGGGGGACCUGCAAGGGGCCUCGCGCUAUUGGAGCGGCCUAUGUCUGAUAGCUAGUUGGUGAGGUAAAGGCUCACCAAGGCGACGAUCAGUAGCUGGUCUGAGAGGAUGAUCAGCCACACUGGAACUGAGACACGGUCCAGACUCCUACGGGAGGCAGCAGUGGGAAUUUUGGACAAUGGGGCAACCCUGAUCCAGCCAUGCCGCGUG